rnacentral:lncRNA from 1 species
AAAUUAUAUAAAAAGAAGAAGAAUCUUUGAUUUUUUUUUGAAAAGGAGUAACCGGGCUUCUUUGAAGUGAUAAGACUAUUCAAAUUCCAAUAUUCGUGGAGAAAGAAUAGUAAUAAAUGUAAAGAAGAGGCAUCUUUUACCCAAUAGCGAAGAGUUUGAACCAAGAUUUCCAGAUGAACGGGGUAGGGUAUUAGUAUAUCUAAUACAUAAUUUAGAUGUGAAAAAUUGUCCUCUAAAAAAGGAAAUGUUGAAUGAAUUGAUCGUAAAUUAUAAGAUUUUAAAAUCUUUUUGCCUUCGAAAAAAGAUAAAGAAGAUAUUAAUCGUAGAGAAAACGGAAUUUCCACAAUAAAUACAAAUCCCUCUGAUAUCAUUUGAGAAUACAAACUCUUGUUGCACUCCAAAAAUGGAUUUUUGUUAGAAUCAUUAGUAGAAAUAAGAAAAUGAUUCUGUUGAUACAUUCGAGUAAUUAAACGUUUCACAAUUAGGAAACUAAAUUUAUUGUUAUAACCCGGAUUUUCCAACAAAAUUGACCUAUUUCUAUUUAAACCAUGAUCAUGAGCAAGUGCAUAAAUAUACUCCUGAAAGAUAAGUGGAUAUAGGAAGUUGUGUUGUUGCGAGCUAUCUAGCUGUAAAUAUCUUUGGAUUUCUUCCAUUUGAAAUUCGAUUUGAACCAAAGAUGGAAGAUUUUUAGGGUUAUCAAAUGAUACAUAGUGCGAUACAGUUAAAACAAAGCAUUCUAGUAAUAAUAGAUACCUUGGAUACAGGUAAACUUCUCAACGGAUUCUCUAUCAUCUCUUUUUUUUAUUUCAGUUAAUUGGUCUAUGUUAUAGUAUGUAUUGUUAUAUCUCAAACUCUAGAGUAGAAUGGUUGCAGUUAAGUUUAGAGUUUAUUAAGGGGAUCCGCAGACUUAUAAUGAUGGGUUAAAUCUAAAGGGAAGAUGACAAAAUAAGUAACCAAGUCAGGAUUUCAGAUUAUAGCAGUGAUGCUAGUGAGUACUAGAGCAACAGUAAGGGGGGAAGGUACCCGACCCAUUCUUAUCUCAGUAUAAUUUAUGGAUGUUUUCUUAGAAGUUUGUAUGUGGUUAUAAUGAUAGGCUUGAAAGUUAUCUUGGUAUAUAAGUGGAUGGGUACAUUGUGUGCUCGUGAAUUCCUAGUAAGAGGAUUAAAUUUAGUUAUUGAAGGGGUAAGAAGAGUUAUUCUUACAAUAUGAAUUUGUGAAAACGCAUGGGGUAUUGAAUUCAUGGUUCAGACUAGUGUUAUGUUAUUAUGUGUAGUACUUUGUAGAUUUGAGUAGGCUUGAACAUAGUGAGAGAAUUCUGUUCAGCUCAGACAUUGGUAGAUAGGGUUAUCAGUGCCUAUGUAAAGAUCAUAAGUAGCCUCAAGUGAAGUGCGGUAUUGAUGGGUAACGUAUAGUUGAGGGAGUAUUUGAGGAGUAUGUCUAAGCUCGAAAGUGUUAGUUGUAUUGCCUAAGGCCUGGUAAUUCUACCCCAACUUAGGUUUCAUAGGACUAUCUUCCAUAUUAUAGAGUUAUAUCUAUAUUAAGAUUCCUUGCUCGGAUAUCUUAUUCAGAUCAUGCCCAAGAAUUCUUUCCCCUCUAAUGUUAUUAGAAUUUCUUGCAAAGAGUGUUUGAGAAAUACUCUAGUUGAGUAUAAGCUUUCAGUAUAAUUUAGUCCGUGUAGCCAACAGUCCAGUUUAGUAGUUAGACAAAUAAGUUCCUAUAGUUUUCCAUCUUUCCUAUUCCUGAGGCAAUUUAUUCACAUCCAUGCAAGUUGAAAAUUUAGUUUAGUCCAAGCAUCGUGUUUUAGAUUCAGCUAAUUAGUCAUGACUCAUUUCAUAAGUGUUCAAUACAUGCAUGAUAUCAGUUUUCCAAGUGUAUGAUCUCAAUUUUCCAAGUAUUCCAGCUUAAAAGUGUAAUACCCCUUUAUGACCGUGGUCUCACAAUUCGUUCUUCCAUUGCAUCAUUCAUCACUUUGGAGUUCUAUAUGUAUGAUUGUAUAAUGAACAUUUCAAGUGAUUUCUAAACUCUCAACAUGAAUCAAUUUCUUACAGUGAAUAAAGUCAAGCAGCUCAGAAACCAGUUUCAUAAUGAAAGCUCUAAUGUUUCAGUUCAGCUACAUCCUUCAUUACCAGACAUUUUAUGCCUAAAUUAUUCCAUACUCAUAAUGCUUCAACAAGUUUCUAUCCAUCAUUCUAGAAUGAAUGUUUCCAAGAGGGAUAUAAUGUAACACUCCACAUUUUUAGGAUAGACUUUGAGUCAUCAUUUCUACGUGUGCAAGUUCUAAUACCAUGAUUUGUAUGUGAAUAUAUGUGUCAUGAUAUUUAUCCUAGUGUGUAAAGUUCUUAGGAGGUGAAAAAUAUUCAUAGAAAUCACUUAGAGCAAAGUUGAGUUAACAGCCUUUGAUUCGGCCAAGUUUUGGUAUUCAACUCUACAAGGGUCAACUUUAAAUGUGUAUAAAUUUUUAUAUAUGUGGAAUUUUUAGAUCAAGACCCGUUAAAUGAUAGAUAAUUGAGUUAUCUUUCCAGAUAUACCAAUUUUUCCUUAAUCCGAUACCCAAGCAAAACUUUAUGGCCUUUUUUGUGAGAGGCCGUAAGGGUCCAAGAUUUGGCCGCGGUGCGGCGGUCUAUCCCCGAGAUAAGGGGCACAACGCGACACAUCGCUCUCUUAACACGAUAAGGGAUGCGACGCGGAGUUUAUUUCCCCUCUGUUUCAGCUUCUUAAGUGUCAAGGGGCUCUUGGUCCUUUCCCCUCAGCCCUAAAUGUCCAAGUCAUGAAUUAAAGCACCCAAAAAGGCAUUAUUUGCCCAUCUUUUUCAAAUCAACCCACGUAAAAACCCUCUCUUUUCCAAGAACAAUAAUUCAAGCUUAUUAUCUCAAGAAAACAAGGGUUUAAGUUUUGAAUUUAAGAUUUCUUCAAGAAUCAAUAUUCAAGAAAUAUCAAGAAUAAGGUUUCUUUCACAAGUUCAUCAUUCAAGUCCCAAGUCCCAAGCUUUCUUCACAAGUCAAGAAACUUAAGGUAUAUGGGAUUUAUUAACAAGGACAUUCUUCCAUCCUUGGGCCCAAAGCUUGUUUAAAAGGUUAAGUAAUAUGAUUUUCAAUUAUGGUUCAUACCCAACUUAGCUUGUUUUGAUAUUAUGAAAUUAUUAGGUGGUUGAAGUAUUAAAGUGCAUACAUGAUCUUAUCUAUUUAUUUUGACUUGGAUAUUCUCUAUAUUAUGAUUUGAAUUUCAUGAGUUUAAUUUGAAACAUUGAUUAAAUAUUUUCGAUUGAGUUUUAAUCAUGAUAUUGUAUCACAAUCUAUAUGAAAGAAAGUAUAAGAUUCAGGGCUUGAGUAAGUUUACUAGAAAAGUUUGAAUCUUUUGAUUCCAAAAUAAAGCUUGAAAUCCACAAUUGUUUAUCAUCCUAUGAUACAAAGCAAAGAUUGAUCUUUUAAUCUUAAGAUAAAAUACGAAAUUCACAUUUGUUCAUUCUGAUUAUGAUUUAAACAAAGAGAAGCAUAACUUGUUUUCAUUCUGUAAAACCCUAUGCUAUUUUUAAGGUGGAUUUCCUAAAGUAUGAGCAUAUAAGUAAUAUGGGAGUAGUAUUUAGCACCUAGUUGGGUAUGAGUCCAAGGUCACAUGUCCCAGAACUACGUGCCACCAUAGGUUUAAGUCCCAAUAUGGGUUAAGUAUAGUUAUCACUAAGUUAAGGUUCUAUUCCAAUGGGAAGUGUAGAACAGCUCUCCCCCAACGUGGGUAAGACGUUGGACUCCAUGAUAGCUCACAUGGUUUAUGUUGGUUAGAAGAAUCUCCCAAAAGAAAGAAUAAAAAGUAAAGCUUUUAUAAACUAAGUGUGGUGUCUCACAAAGUUUAUUCAGUAUGCUUUAUUAUUCAUGGUUUAUGAUUUUUCAUCUUUCAGUUUUUUUCAAGCUCUAGGUGAGUCAGUUACACUUAGCAUGCAUUUCCAUCAUUCUAGAAUGAAUGUUUCCAAGAGGGAUAUAAUGUAACACUCCACAUUUUUAGGAUAGACUUUGAGUCAUCAUUUCUACGUGUGCAAGUUCUAAUACCAUGAUUUGUAUGUGAAUAUAUGUGUCAUGAUAUUUAUCCUAGUGUGUAAAGUUCUUAGGAGGUGAAAAAUAUUCAUAGAAAUCACUUAGAGCAAAGUUGAGUUAACAGCCUUUGAUUCGGCCAAGUUUUGGUAUUCAACUCUACAAGGGUCAACUUUAAAUGUGUAUAAAUUUUUAUAUAUGUGGAAUUUUUAGAUCAAGACCCGUUAAAUGAUAGAUAAUUGAGUUAUCUUUCCAGAUAUACCAAUUUUUCCUUAAUCCGAUACCCAAGCAAAACUUUAUGGCCUUUUUUGUGAGAGGCCGUAAGGGUCCAAGAUUUGGCCGCGGUGCGGCGGUCUAUCCCCGAGAUAAGGGGCACAACGCGACACAUCGCUCUCUUAACACGAUAAGGGAUGCGACGCGGAGUUUAUUUCCCCUCUGUUUCAGCUUCUUAAGUGUCAAGGGGCUCUUGGUCCUUUCCCCUCAGCCCUAAAUGUCCAAGUCAUGAAUUAAAGCACCCAAAAAGGCAUUAUUUGCCCAUCUUUUUCAAAUCAACCCACGUAAAAACCCUCUCUUUUCCAAGAACAAUAAUUCAAGCUUAUUAUCUCAAGAAAACAAGGGUUUAAGUUUUGAAUUUAAGAUUUCUUCAAGAAUCAAUAUUCAAGAAAUAUCAAGAAUAAGGUUUCUUUCACAAGUUCAUCAUUCAAGUCCCAAGUCCCAAGCUUUCUUCACAAGUCAAGAAACUUAAGGUAUAUGGGAUUUAUUAACAAGGACAUUCUUCCAUCCUUGUGCCCAAAACUUGUUUAAAAGUUUAAGUAAUAUGAUUUUCAAUUAUGGUUCAUACCCAACUUAGCUUGUUUUGAUAUUAUGAAAUUAUUAGGUGGUUGAAGUAUUAAAGUGCAUACAUGAUCUUAUCUAUUUAUUUUGACUUGGAUAUUCUCUAUAUUAUGAUUUGAAUUUCAUGAGUUUAAUUUGAAACAUUGAUUAAAUAUUUUCGAUUGAGUUUUAAUCAUGAUAUUGUAUCACAAUCUAUAUGAAAGAAAGUAUAAGAUUCAGGGCUUGAGUAAGUUUACUAGAAAAGUUUGAAUCUUUUGAUUCCAAAAUAAAGCUUGAAAUCCACAAUUGUUUAUCAUCCUAUGAUACAAAGCAAAGAUUGAUCUUUUAAUCUUAAGAUAAAAUACGAAAUUCACAUUUGUUCAUUCUGAUUAUGAUUUAAACAAAGAGAAGCAUAACUUGUUUUCAUUCUGUAAAACCCUAUGCUAUUUUUAAGGUGGAUUUCCUAAAGUAUGAGCAUAUAAGUAAUAUGGGAGUAGUAUUUAGCACCUAGUUGGGUAUGAGUCCAAGGUCACAUGUCCCAGAACUACGUGCCACCAUAGGUUUAAGUCCCAAUAUGGGUUAAGUAUAGUUAUCACUAAGUUAAGGUUCUAUUCCAAUGGGAAGUGUAGAACAGCUCUCCCCCAACGUGGGUAAGACGUUGGACUCCAUGAUAGCUCACAUGGUUUAUGUUGGUUAGAAGAAUCUCCCAAAAGAAAGAAUAAAAAGUAAAGCUUUUAUAAACUAAGUGUGGUGUCUCACAAAGUUUAUUCAGUAUGCUUUAUUAUUCAUGGUUUAUGAUUUUUCAUCUUUCAGUUUUUUUCAAGCUCUAGGUGAGUCAGUUACACUUAGCAUGCAUUAUUUUAAAGUGAAUGAAUAUGUUAAGUUGUUGUUUUACUUAGGCAUUCACCCCCACAUACUCAGUAUAUUCCCGAAGUACUGAACCACAUAUAUGUCUAUGUGCUACAUUGUCUCAUAAUAUAGGUACCAAUUGUAGCACACACAUCAUAAUCAGACAGUUCGCAACUUUCAGUCAGUAGGUGAUGGGUUCUUCUGAUUUGAGAACUCAAGUCAACUAUAGUUCUAGUAGCAUUUUUACUAAGUCGUAUUGAUUAGGGAUAACUGGGGGUCAUGUCCAGGCUUCCUAUAGUCAGUAUUAGUAUAGUCUUCAUAGACGGUCAUUCAGAUUUAAUGUAUUUACUUUCAGUUUUCUUUAGUAUAACUAAAGUGUAAAUGUUAGAAACAGUUUUGUUUAGAACAUAUUCAGCUAAAGACAUUUCUUCCGCUUAUUACUUCACGUUUUAGGUAGUUUAAAUCAAUCGCUCAUGCAUUAUGCUAGUACAUGGGUUAUCUUAGGAUCACUUGUAGUCCAAAGCACCGUGUGACAUCUAGGGGAUAGUUUCGGGGCGCUUCAAGGUGACAUAGGAAGCUAUAUGGCUAAGAUCCCACCUGGGGAGGUAACAUAGAUGAAGACUGAAUUCCUAAUCUCAGAACACCAAACUCAGAUUCCGAUGCUAAAGGAAGAACAACACUCGAAGUCUGUGGAGCAGUAAAAAUAGAAGUAGGUACUACUGGAGGAUCCACAAUCUAGCUAGAGGAACACCAUAAGCAGACCCUGGCACAGAUGGAUAUACAAUACUCGAAACUAGGGGAACACCAAACAAACUCAAAGAACCACCCUUUAAAUAGGUCAAAAAAUGACCCAACAAUCCCUUUAACACUGAGGUAGAAGAACUCGGUAGAACCAAAGUAGGACCCACAUCUCCAAUAUGCUCAACACGAGGCUUAGGAGAAAGUGCCAUAGCACUACUCAAGGAUGGGCCUGAUCCACGUGCCCAUCCACUACCUCGAGUCCAUCCAUAACUCACAACUUUCCCUCUAGACUGUGAUCUCUCCCUAGAUGAAGGCUCUGUAUCUCUAACCUCACGAGACAUAGUCAUCACCAUCUGCGCAGAAAAGAGAGUAAUAUGACUCAGAACAUAAGGUCUGAAAGAACUCCGCACGAUAAGGAACAAAAUAAGAAAAAUUUCCUAUACAUCUUAUAGCCUCUCAAAGAUAGAUAUGGACGUCUGCGGACCAAUCCAUGAGACACUAUUUGGCAUCUCAUUCUUACAUGAUUAAGACUGAUGAAACUGGCUGCUUUGCUACCAAUUUAUCAUGACCCAAAAAUCCAAGGGUCCUGAUAGUACUUGUCACGGUGAACCUUGACAAGUAAGCCAAUCACAAAAUUGAUACAAAAGAGAAAUUAACAUUCAAAACCCAAGGCUAAGAGCGAAUCCAAACCAUAAUCGAUAUAAUGAAUGCUAAAAGAAUCAUAAACAAUAAUGUUAUAACUCCCAAAACCUGGUGUCACAGUGUAAGAACUACUUUACAAUCCAUGAAUCAAUUACAUAAGAAAUCUAAUAAGAACAACUCUAUCUCUGAAUACUAGUAAAGACAUAGUAGAGCACAAAAAGAUAGAAAUGGACUCCAGACGCAUGAAAAUCUAGCCGCUAUCUUGAAAAACCCCGAAGGUGCUUGGAUCAACCACUAUAGGGCGCACUUAAACCAGGAUCUACACUGAAAGGGUACAAUAUGGGUGAGUAUGGUACACUUGUACUUGGUAGGUAUCAUAGGCUAAUCAAGCAAUGUAGAAAAUACGGCAUACAAUACACACUAAGGGCACGCCACCUAAAACCAGAAAAUGUCCCACGACGGUAGCCCACAACACUUGCAUUAACAGUUGUAUAAUACUCACAUAUAUUGCAAUACUAGAAAGUACCCCAAGUAUACAUUAUACCACAUACAAGUAAAGCACAGAAGGACAACAUAUACAAGAACAUCAAAUAUAAGUAAAGAAAGAUAUAACAAAUGAAUAGGUAACAAUUCAAGACAGAAACAAAAUCACAUCACAAGCAUACUAAAGUAAAUACAAUGGAAAUAGUGAGGAUGAUGAUGACCUCUGAGACUGUCACACGAUCUCUAUAGACACCUAUGAAGCUAAAGCUACAAGACAUAGGAUCCAUAUGGGGUUUAUCAACCCAUAUACGACCAAUAUCCAUGACUCAUCUCUGACACAUGCCUUAGAGAAGGUUUAUAAAAUCUGAUGUUCCCAGUGUUUUCAGAAUUUCUAGUAAUUCCAAUAUUUCCCGUGUUUCUAAUAAUUUCACUAUUUCCAGUAUUUUCAGAGCACACACGUAACAUAAGGUGCAAAUUAAGUACAACAUACAACAUAGUUUUUUCAUCAAACAAGAUACAAUUAUUUCAUGCAUAUAGGUUAUCAACAUCACAUAGGACCCCACACGGUCACACAUAGCAUGUAAUAUCCCAAAACUACCAAAUACAUCACAUAUAGGCCCUAUAAGGGCACAAAACAAUAAGAUAACCAUUUUUCAUGAUUAGUUCCCACAUCCUUAACAUGCUUUUGUAUAAAAAUUAACUACCCAGCCCAAUCUGAAAGAAGUUAAGCCACAACCUACCUCGAAUAUCAAAAACCAGAACAAUAUCCACCAAUCCCAAAGACUCACUCCUCACGAACAGUCCAUAAAUCAACUAAAAUAUGAAAAUAUAGAAUCUACAUAUCAAAAAAAAGCCAAUGAUACCCGUAUUUCCCAGUUUCAAGUUGGGUCAAAACGGACCCCGAAAUGGAUUUUCAAAAAAUAAGGAAAAUUAUAACUUUGCUUCAAAAAUAUGCUCCCCAUAUUUUUAGGAGUUUACAGCCUAAAACCCAAGCGACAAUUAGUUAAAACAAGGUCCAAAUUGAAGAAAAAUUAUUUUCAAGCUUUACAGGAUAAAAAUCCCCGAAACCCAUUUAAAAUUUGAGAAUUAAAGUUGUUUAGAAGAUAAAAUUAAGGGAAAACUACUAAUUAUAAGAUUAAAAACUCACCAAGUGAAAAAGGUUGAAAUCGAAUUUUAAAUUGGAGAACUACAAUUUUUAGGCCUUACUGGCCAAAAUUCCAAAAUAUCAUACUUCAAUCCAAGUUUAAAACAAGAAAUAGAUGAUAAAGAUUGAAAGAAAUAAUUGAAAUAAGUGUUAUGGAGCUUACCCAAGCUUAAAAGUGAUGAAAGUUGCUCAAAACCAUAAAACCCUAAUCUCCAAGUCUCAAAAAGGUGAAAAAUAGUGAAACCUGGGUAUUUAUAUACCCAGGCAUUGCGAUCGCGGACCAAGUCUAGCGACCUCGAUACCUGGCUAAAGCAACUAUCACAAUCAUAGACUAAGUGUUGCAAUUAUGGCACUUAACUUACGUGCGAAAUCGCGAUUGUGGCAGUAGCCUCGUGAUUACGGGCGCACCAGUUGGGACUUGGUGAAAUCCCAUGUCUCUGUGGGCCCCUCAAGAUUCACUCAAAAUAUCAUGAAUGCAAUGAACUAUGCUACCCUAUUAAAUAACAUACUUUGGACUCAAUGUUGAUAUGAAAAUUUCAAAAGAAAAAUCAUUUUCACAGAUUUUGCCCCAAAAACCCAAAAUCACAACUUUCUAAUCGAGGGUCAAAAUGAGAAUUAAAAGCCAUAAUACUACAACAACCAUGUUACCACCCUAAAAUUGGCGUUUUGAAUCCACUGGCGCAAUUCAUUUUGCCACCUGAGCACAAAUCAAAAAAUGGUGGUUGAAUUCAACUAUAAGGCUCUUAAUGCCACCAAAAACCACAAUAUUGCAUAAGUCAAAUAAACAUGCAUCAAAAACCAUACCAAUCAUCCCCACACCCCAGGAACACUACAACACAGUCACAAGGAAAGUUAAAAUUGUCAAAUCACACAAAAACACACAUUACACAUAAUUUAUCAAAAUUUGAUUUGUUACAUCAUCCAUCACUAAAAAUCUAGUUCGCCAUCAAACUAAAGGCAAGAGAAAUAGCCGAGUCAGCAGGAUAACAACUACAAAUAUCAGACUCGACCUCCCAAGUAGCCUCAUCUAUAGGUUGAUGCCUCCACUAGAGCCUAAUCACAGGAAUAACUCUAGAGCGCAACUGUCUAACAUGCCUAGGCAAUAUGGAGACCGGCUCCUUAACAAAAGACCACCUCUUAUCUAACUGAACCAACUCCCAAUAAAUGACCUAAGCCUCAUCCAAAAUAUAAUGGAAAUCCAUAAAAACAUGAAAUACUUUAUAAAUAGCUGAUAAGUCUGGGGGAAAGUCUAACUCAUAAGCCACAUCACCAAUAGUCCAAAGAAUCUCAAAUG